GGUGUAGUGGUUAUCACGUCUGCCUGUCACGCAGAAGAUCGCGAGUUCGAACCUCGUC
rnacentral:tRNA from 1 species